rnacentral:piRNA from 1 species
UAGGAACUGUGAAGAGAGAUUAGUUUUCU